GAUGAACGCUGGCGGCGUGCCUAAUACAUGCAAGUCGAGCGAACAGACGAGGAGCUUGCUCCUCUCACGUUAGCCGCACACGUGUGAGUAACACGUGGAUAACCUCCCUGUAAGACUGGUAUCACUUCGGGAAACCGGCGCUAAUACCGUAUAAGAUAUUGAACCGUAUGGUUCAAUAGUGAAAGACGGUUUUGCUGUCACGUAUAGAUGGAUCCGCGCCGCUUUAGCUAGUUGGUGAGGUAACGGCUUACCAAGGGGACGGUGCGUGACCGACGUGAGAGGCUGAUCGGCCACAUGGGAGCUGAGACGGGGUCCAGACUCCUACGGGAGGCAGCAGUAGGGAAUCGGCGGCAAUGGGCGAAAGCCUGACGGAGCAGCGCCGCGUGAGUGAUGAAGGUCUUCGGAUCGUAAAAAUCGGUUAUUAGGGAAGAACAACUGUGUAAGUAACUAUGCACGGCUUGACGGUAACUAAUCAGAAAGCCACGGCUAACUACGUG
rnacentral:rRNA from 1 species